CCAUUAGUUUCCAUGGGAUGAUGAUUCCAUUCGGGUCCAUUCGAUGAUGAUGACCCUGGAUUUCAUUCCAUAAUUCUAUUCGAUUCCAUUCGAUGAUGAUUGCAUUCAUUUCCAUCCGAUGAUGAUUCCAUUCGAUUCCGUUCAAUGAUUAUUCCAUUCGAGUCCAUUCGAUGAUUCCAUUCGAUUCCAUUCGAUGAUGAUUGCAUUCGAGUCCAUGGAUUAUUCCAUUCCAUUCCAUUAGAUGAUUCCAUUCGGGUCCGUCCGAUGAUUCUCUUCGAUUCCAUUCGAUAAUUCCGUUUUUUUCCGUUUGAUGUUGAUUCCAUUCGAUUCCAUUCGAUGAUAAUUCCAUUCGAUUCUAUGCGAUGAUUCCAUUCCAUACCAUUUGAAGAUGAUUCCAUUCGAGACCAUUCGAUGAUUGCAUUCAAUUCAUUCGAUGACGAUUCCAUUCAAUUCCGUUCAAUGAUUCCAUUUGAUUCCAUUUGAUGUUGAUUCCAUUCGAUUCCAUUUUAUGAUGAUUCCAUGCAAUUCCAUUAGAUGAUGACUCCUUUCAUUUCCAUUCGAUGAUGAUUCCAUUCGUUUCCAUCCGAUGAUGAUUCCAUUCGAUUCCGUUCAAUGAUUAUUCCAUUCGAGUCCAUUCGAUGAUUCCAUUCGAUUCUACACGAUGAUGAUUGCAUUCGAGUCCGUGGAUUAUUCUAUUCAAUUCCAUUAGAUUAUUCCAUUCGAGUCCAGUCGAUGAUUCUCUUCGAUUCCAUUCGAUAAUUCCGCUUGAUUCCAUUUGAUGUUGAUUCCAUUCGAGUCCAUUCAAUUUUAAUUCCAUUCGAUUCUAUGCGAUGAUUCCAUUACUUUCCAUUAGAAGAUGAUUGCAUUCGAGACCAUUCGAUGAUUCCAUUCAAUUCAUUUGAUGACGAUUCCAUUCAAUUCUGUUCAAUGAUUCCAUUAGAUUCCAUUUGAUGAUGAUUCCAUUCGAUUCCAUUUGAUGAUGAUUCCAUGCGAUUCCUUUAGAUGAUGACCCCUUUCAUUUCCAUUCAAUGAGGAUUCCAUUCGGUUCCAUUUGAUGAUGAUUCCUUUGAAUUCCAUUUGAUGAGGGGGGGCAAAAAAAAACAAUUGAUGAUGGUUAUUUUUGAUUCCAUUUGAUGAUGUAUUACAUUCGAUUCCAUUUGAUCAUAAUUCCAUUCGAUUCCACUCGAUGAUUCCAUUCGAUUCCAUUCAAUGAUGAUUCCAUUCGAGUUCAUUGACUGUUCCAUUCCAUUCCAUUCGAUGAUUCCAUUCGAGUCCAUUCGAUGAUUCUAUUCGAUUGCAUUCGAUAAUUCCAUUCGAUUGCAUUCGAUAAUUCCAUUCGAUUCCAUUGGAGGAUAAUUCCAUUAGAGUCCAUUCGAUGAUUGUUCCAUUCGAUUCUAUUCGGUGAUUCCAUUCGAUUCCAUUUGAUAAUAAUUCCAAUCGAGACCAUUCGAUGAUUCCAUUCAAUUCCAUUCAAUAAUGAUCCCUUUCGAGUCCAUUCAAUGAUUCCAUUCCAGUCCAUUCUAUGAUUCCAUCUGAUUCCAUUCAAUGAAUCCAUUCGAUUCCAUUCUAUGACGAUUCCAUUCAUUUCCAUCUGAUGAUGAUUCCUUUCGAUUCCAUUUUAUGAUGAUUCCAUGCAAUUCCAUUAGAUGAUGAUUCCUUUCAUUUCCAUUCGAUGAUGAUUCCAUUCGUUUCCAUCCGAAGAUGAUUCCAUUCGAUUCCGUUCAAUGAUUAUUCCAUUCGAGUCCAUUCGAUGAUUCCAUUCGAUUCCAUUCGAUGAUGAUUGCAUUCGAGUCCAUGGAUUAUUCCAUUCCAUUCCAUUGGAGGAUAAUUCCAUUUGAGUCCAUUCGAUGAUAGUUCCAUUCGAUUCUAUUCGGUGAUUCCAUUCGAUUCCAUUUGAUAAUGAUUCCAAUCGAGACCAUUCGAUGAUUCCAUUCAAUUCCAUUCAAUCAUGAUCCCUUUCGAGUCCAUUCAAUGAUUCCAUUCCAGUCCAUUCGAUGAUUCCAUCUGAUUCCAUUCAAUGAAUCCAUUCGAUUCCAUUCUAUGACGAUUCCAUUCAUUUCCAUCUGAUGAUGAUUCCAUUCGAUUCCAUUCAAUGAUACCAUUCGAUUCCAUUUGAUGAUGAUUUCAAUCAAUUUUAUUCGAUGAUUCCAUUCGAAUCCAUUCGAAGAUGAGUCCAUCCAUUUCAAUUUCAUGAUAAUUCCAUUCGUUUCAAUUCGAUGGUGUUUCCAUUCGAUUCAUUCGAUGUUGAUUCCAUUAGCUUCCGUUGGAUGAUGAUUCCAUUCGGGUCCAUUCGAUGAUGAUGACACUGGAUUUCAUUCCAUAAUUCUAUUCGAUUCCAUUCGAUAAUGAUUCCAUUCAUUUCCAUCCGAUGAUGAUUCCAUUCGAUUCCGUUCAGUGAUUAUUCCAUUCGAGUCCAUUCGAUGAUUCCAUUCGAUUCCAUUCGAUGAUGAUUGCAUUCGAGUCCAUGGAUUAUUCCAUUCCAUUCCAUUAGACGAUUCCAUUCGGGACCAUUCUAUGAUUCUCUUCGAUUCCAUUCGAUAAUUCCGUUUUUUUCCGUUUGAUGUUGAUUCCAUUCGAUUCCAUUCGAUGAUAAUUCCAUUCGAUUCUAUGCGAUGAUUCCAUUCCAUUCCAUUUGAAGAUGAUUCCAUUCGAGACCAUUCGAUGAUUGCAUUCAAUUCAUUCGAUGACGAUUCCAUUCAAUUCUGUUCAAUGAUUCCAUUAGAUUCCAUCUGAUGAUGAUUCCAUUCGAUUCCAUUUGAUGAUGAUUCCAUGCGAUUCCAUUAGAUGAUGACCCCUUUCAUUUCCAUUCAAUUAGGAUUCCUUUCGGUUCCAUUUGGUGAUGAUUCCUUUGAAUUCCAUUUGAUGACAAUUCCAUUCAAUACCAAUUGAUGAUGGUUAUCUUUGAUUCCAUUUGAUGAUGAUUACAUUCGAUUCCAUUUGAUCAUAAUUCCAUUCGAUUCCACUCGAUGAUUCCAUUCGAUUCCAUUCAAUGAUGAUUCCAUUCGAGUUCAUUGACUGUUCCAUUCCAUUCCAUUCGAUGAUUCCAUUCGAGUCCAUUCGAUGAUUCUAUUCGAUUGCAUUCGAUAAUUCCAUUCGAUUGCAUUCGAUAAUUCCAUUCGAUUCCUUUUGAUGAUAAUUCCAUUGGAGUCCAUUCGAUGAUUGUUCCAUUCGAUUCUAUUCGGUGAUUCCAUUCGAUUCCAUUUAAUAAUGAUUCCAUGCGAGACCAUUCGAUGAUUCCAUUCAAUUCCAUUCAAUAAUGAUUCCAUUCGAGUCCAUUCAAUGAUUCCAUUCAAGUCCAUUCGAUGAUUCCGGCUGAUUGCAUUCAAUGAAUCCAUUCGAUUCCAUUCUGUGAUGAUUCCAUUCAUUUCAAUCUGAUGAUGAUUCCAUUCGAUUCCAUUCAAUGAUUCCAUUCGAUUCCAUUUGAUGAUGAUUUCAAUAAAUUUCAUUCAAUGAUUCCAUUCGAAUCCAUUCAAUGAUGAGUCCAUCCAUUUCAAUUUCAUGAUAAUUCCAUUCGUUUCAAUUCGAUGGUGUUUCCAGUCGAUUUCGUUCGAUGUUGAUUCCAUUAGUUUCCAUUGGAUGAUGAUUCCAUUCGAGUCCAUUUGAUGAUGAUCACAUUGGAUUUGAUUCCAUAAUUCUAUUCGAUUCCAUUUGAUGAUGAUUCCGUCUGAUUCCAUUUGAUGAUUCCAUUCGAUUCCAUUCGAUGAUGAUUCCAUUCGUUUCUAUCCGAUGAUGAUUCCAUUCGAUUCCGUUCAAUGAUUAUUCCAUUCGAGUCCAUUCGAUGAUUCCAUUCGAUUCCAUUCGAUGAUGAUUGCAUUCGAGUCCAUGGAAUAUUCCGUUCCAUUCCUUUAGAUGAUUCCAUUCGAGCCCAUUCGAUGAUUCUCUUCGAUUCCAUUCGAUAAUUCCGUUUGAUUCCGUUUGAGGUUGAUUCCAUUCGAGUCCAUUCGAUGAUAAUUCCAUUCGAUUCUAUGCGAUGAUUCCAUACCAUUCCAUUGGAAGAUGAUUCCGUUCGAGACCAUUCGAUGAUUGCAUUCAAUUCAUUCGAUGACGAUUCCAUUCAAUUCCGUUCAAUGAUUCCAUUAGAUUCCAUUUGAUGAUGAUUCCAUUGGAUUCCAUUUGAUGAUGAUUCCAUGCUAUUCCAUUAGAUGAUGACUCCUUUCAUUUCCAUUCAAUGAGGAUUCCAUUCGUUUCCAU
rnacentral:lncRNA from 1 species